UGUUAAUACCAUUUUAAUCCUGUGAAAAUGACCAUAAUUGGUGUAAAUAAUUGACAAUGAAAAUUGCCUGCAUGAGUGACUGUUUUGGCGAGGGAUUACUUAACUUGGGGUUAAAUUACGAUAUUUCCAUACUUAUGGUCAGUUCUUACCUGUGACGAGACAUACAUGUCUAGUUGAGCUAGGGUCAGUCUUUGGCCAAACAUUCCCGUGAUAUUGAUUAACUAACAGUCAAGAAGAGUUCAACGUUUAUUUAUAUAGAUAUACAAUUAUGGCUAUUGUAUAAAGCAAAAAUUUGUUUAAUUAGCAAUCAUGUAGAUUGCAUAUUGCUACAGUGGAAAGUGAAUGAUCUGGAAAUUCUUGUUCCUAUUGCAGACGGAC
rnacentral:lncRNA from 1 species